CGGACGCCCGCGCGCGCCCGCGGGUUUAUUGAUUAGAUUAUCGAUUGGGAGGGAGAGACGGGUUGUGGCGUGUGUGGAGGAGCCACAAGAGUUGUUUUUGUUAAUCAGCGAGUUGUUCGUAGGAUAUUGAGGACAAAUGAAUUCGAACCGCUUCGCUUCGCUUUCGCUGCACGUAUCUCGACUCAGUGAAAUGUUGAAUGAUUGAUAUUUGUGAAGAAAAUAAGCGUUAAUCAAGUGAAUGCGCGUUUGAACUUGUCCUAAUAGUGCCGACGUGGUGUCAUUUGGGAAUGACAGCCACAUUCAGUUCGAAUUCUUGCUGUUUGUGAAGAUUUAUUGAGAAAGCUGUUUUGCACGAGGUGACCUUGAGUAACCUUCAAGAUGAAGAAAUUAUCCCGAAGUGUCGCGAAGUGUGGCCGAAAUCGUUAGGGCCGAAACCGAGAAGAUAAAAGCGUCAAGAACCGGAUUUCUAUGGGCGCUAACCAAGAAAAAGAAUGACGCGAGACGUUUGGCAACAUAAAAUGGAAAUAUAGAAGAAGUUAAGAAGAAACUUCAGGAAGCUAUUGAUAAAUUCGAGAAAGCAUGCGAUGUUUAUUGGGAAGUCCUAGACGAACCAGGAGAAAGAAAGGAAGCGCUCAAAUAUUAUCAGAAGACCUACAAGGAGUUCAUCGUUUUCGAAGAGAAAAUACUGAACUGGAUCGCAAGUGCUGAAGAGCGGGAAACAGAAAUUUAACCAUCGGACUCUGUGAGUCGAGUUAGUCGGCGUAGUCGUCGUUCGUCGUCAUCGGUACGAUCUGCGGUCAGCGACCUAUAUAAAAAAUAUUUGAACCGAGGGCUGAAAACUGUCAAUUCUUGGGCUUGACCGCCAUGUAUGACAGGUAGCAGAAUUGGGCAGAGAGUCAGAGGAAGCGGAGGAUGCAGAGAGUCCGAUGAAGAGUUGGGAUUUAAAACAAUGAAAGAAGCAAGAUUGGAGAGAGCCAUCAAGAAGAGAAAGAGAAAAAUUACGUUAUACAGAACUGGAAAGCUCACCACUAGUUCCUCUGUUAGUUGUAGUCGUAGGAAGGAGUUAGUAGCGAGUGCAAAGUCCAUGGCGGUGUUGGUGCAGAAUCUUUUGCCACACAAGUUGGCCUUGAUGAAACAGCAAUUAAGACAUGUAUACCAUGUACACCUAGCCCCGUUACGAUAUAAAAGUGCAAAACAAAUUUGUCAUAUCAUCUACGAAGCUCCCAAGAUGCGGCCACAUUGAAAACAACAGUAAACUUGCAGGAAUUCUAAAUACAGAAUGGAUUACAUUAUUUAUAUGGAAGCAGCCGAGUUAAACAAAAACGACAUUUUAGCUAAAUUUUUAAUCUUUAUCUUUUUAUCUUUAAUUUCGUUUUUCUUUAAAAUAUCAGCUGCAUAAAGUUUGUUAUCACUUGUCGCGUUAUUGACCAUGGAAAUUCAAUUUUCAAAUUUUAUUUUAUUCCAUUCCAAACUAUGCCAUGAGCACCUGGCAUUAGUCCCAAGAUGCAUUGUAUUUUUGGACGUCCGUCAUCUUGUUUUAAACGAACAAGGAGAUGAUGAAAAACAGUUUUUAUUAUAUUUAGAUGUCAGCAAUAGUUGUUUUCGGUCAAAAUCUUAAGAUUGUUGGUGUGAAAGGUUUUGUUUAAUGAUAUCAAGCCUUAAAAAAUCAAAUUUUCAUUAGACAUUUUCAUUACAGACUUUGAGGUCUGUAAGUUCCCGUUAGCUGUUGUUUUAUAGACAAAAUAUAUUUACAAAAUAUGAUGGAAUCGAUAUGUAAAACAAUUUAUUAUACAUUAGC